GACGAACGCUGGCGGCGUGCUUAACACAUGCAAGUCGAACGGAAAGGCCCUGCUUUUGUGGGGUGCUCGAGUGGCGAACGGGUGAGUAACACGUGAGUAACCUGCCCUUGACUUUGGGAUAACUUCAGGAAACUGGGGCUAAUACCGGAUAGGAGCUCCUGCUGCAUGGUGGGGGUUGGAAAGUUUCGGCGGUUGGGGAUGGACUCGCGGCUUAUCAGCUUGUUGGUGGGGUAGUGGCUUACCAAGGCUUUGACGGGUAGCCGGCCUGGGAGGGUGACAGGCAACAUAGGGACAGAGAAACGGCCCAGACGGAAAGGGGGGGAAGGAGUGGAGAAUAUAGCACAAAGGGCGGAAGCCUGAAGGAGCAACGCCGGGUGCGGGAUGACGGCAUUCGGGUUGAAAAACGAUUUCGCCUGUGACGAAGCGUGAGUGACGGAAAUGGGUAAAGAAGCACCGGCUAACUAGGG
rnacentral:rRNA from 1 species